UCGGGAAUUUUGGGCAAUGGGCGAAAGCCUGACCCAGCAACGCCGCGUGAAGGAUGAAGUAUUUCGGUAUGUAAACUUCGUAAGAAUAGGAAGAAUAAAUGACGGUACUAUUUGUAAGGUCCGGCUAACUACGUGCCAGCAGCCGCGGUAAUACGUAGGGACCAAGCGUUGUUCGGAUUUACUGGGCGUAAAGGGCGCGUAGGCGGCGUGGUGAGUCAUCUGUGAAAUCUCCGAGCUUAACUCGGAACGGUCAGAUGAUACUGCUGUGCUAGAGUACAGAAAGGGCAAUCGGAAUUCUUGGUGUAGCGGUGAAAUGCGUAGAUAUCAAGAGGAACACCUGAGGCGAAGGCGGGUUGCUAGGCUGAUACUGACGCUGAGGCGCGAAAGCUAGGGUAGCAAACGGGAUUAGAUACCCCCGUAGUCCCUGAGCGGGCUGGCAAGGCGCAU
rnacentral:rRNA from 1 species